UACGGAGGGGACUAGCGUUGUUCGGAAUUACUGGGCGUAAAAGCGCACGUAGGCGGAUUUGUUAGUCAGGGGUGAAAUCCCGAGGCUCAACCUCGGAACUGCCUUUGAUACUGCAAAUCUCGAGUCCGGAAGAGGUGAGUGGAAUUCCUAGUGUAGAGGUGAAAAUUUCGUAGAUAUCCGGAGGAACACCAGUGGCGAAGGCGGCCGCCCUGGACCUGACCCUGACGCUGAGGCGCGAAGGCGUGGGGGAGCGAACGGGG
rnacentral:rRNA from 1 species